CAGAGAUUUUACCUCGUACCUUUUGCAUCAUGAUUUAGCUAGUACCCCCUAAGCAAAAAGAAUUUUAGUUUAGUUCCCCGAAACUAAGUGAGCUACUCCAAGACAGCCUAUUAAUAGGGCGCACCCAUCUCUGUGGCAAAAGAGUGGGAAGAGCUUCGAGUAGAGGUGACAGACCUACCGAACUUAGUUAUAGCUGGUUGCCUGAGAAUUGGAUAGAAGUUCAGCCCUCUGCCUUCUUUAGUCAAACGAAAUCAUACCCAACCGACCAAAAGAAUGCAAAGGAGUUAGUUAAAGGAGGUACAGCUCCUUUAACACAAGAUACAACUUUACCAGGAGGAUUAAGAUCAUAAUAAAUCAAGGCAUCCGUGUUUUGGUGGGCCUAAAAGCAGCCAUCCUAAUAGAAAGCGUUAAAGCUCAGACACGAAACUUCCCACUAAUCCUGAUAAUACCUCUGAAUCCCCUAAUACUACCAGGCCCUCCUAUGCACCCAUAGGACUGAUUAUGCUAAUAU
rnacentral:rRNA from 1 species